UUAAUUCGAUGCAACGCGAAAACCUUACCUACCCUUGACAUGUCCGGAAUCCCGAAGAGAUUUGGGGUGCUCGCAAGAGAGCCGGAACACAGGUGCUGCAUGGCUGUCGUCAGCUCGUGUCGUGAGAUGUUGGGUUAAGUCCCGCAACGAGCGCAACCCUUGUCAUUAGUUGCCAUCAUUUGGUUGGGCACUCUAAUGAGACUGCCGGUGACAAACCGGAGGAAGGUGGGGAUGACGUCAAGUCCUCAUGGCCCUUAUGGGUAGGGCUUCACACGUCAUACAAUGGUCGGUACAGAGGGUUGCCAACCCGCGAGGGGGAGCUAAUCCCACAAAGCCGAUCGUAGUCCGGAUCGCAGUCUGCAACUCGACUGCGUGAAGUCGGAAUCGCUAGUAAUCGUGGAUCAGCAUGUCACGGUGAAUACGUUCCCGGGUCUU
rnacentral:rRNA from 1 species